rnacentral:rRNA from 1 species
AUUAUGGAGAGUUUGAUCCUGGCUCAGGAUGAACGCUGGCGGCGUGCCUAAUACAUGCAAGUCGAGCGAACAGAUGAGAAGCUUGCUUCUCU